GUUUCUAUAUUUUAAAAUUUUUAAAGAAUUAAAAAUACAAAAUUGUUUGGGAGCAAUGACAUUUCAAUCAUUUCAUGUAUAUAGGCGUGAAAUGCAAGUGAAAUGAAGCACAUGUAUUGUUUUGAUCUUAAAGUAACCAUGGCGACCAUGACAACAAUGAAGAAUUUUUAUCAAGUUCUGUCAAUUUAGUAUUCGUGCACCUCGUGCACUUUGAAGUGUCCACACACAAAAUUAUUAAUAUCGAUGUGAAAUGAUUUUCGAAAUUUUUCUCAAAUCAUGUAUAAUUUUAGUCGAGACAAAUGCAUCACGAUCUUAAUGUAAUUUUGUUUAUCUAUCUAACAUCUGAUUACAAUUCGUCAACAAUAUUUCAUAACCUAGGAAAUUAUUUAGUGUACAAAUUUAUUUAACCAUUCAGAGCAAAUUGACAAUUUUGCCAAUUAUUUUCAAUGAGAAAAACAACUCUUAAAUUUUAAUGAAUUUUUGGUUUGGAGAAUAUGGAUAGAAUCACUAACGAAGAAGACUUGAAUUAUGUGGGAAUCUCCAACAAAUUGCCUCCUUGGUUGUUGGAAAUGACAGAAACAGUGAAAAGGUUAAAUCUACAAGAAACCAGUGGAAUUGAACCAAAUGCAGAUUUAUUAAUCAAACCAGAUUUUCAACCUUUUGUUGAAAAUAAAUUCAAUGCAGAAAAGUCAGUAAAAGAAAAAGAGGAGUUUUUUACCUCAACGCACAAACUUAAGAAUUCGGAUUGUAAUGUAAUUUUACAAUCCACUGCCAAAUCGCUUCCAAAUUCUCCACGUCAGGAAAUUAGUCGUGAAUCAAAUGAAGUGAAUCGGACAUUUUUCACUUUAAACGAUAUUUACCAAGCUGAGCAAAAAGAUAGAUUAGGAAAAUUGGAUAAGUACUUGGAUGAAAAAAAAGCAAAGUACACAGUUUCAGAUUCUCCCUUCAGAAUAUCAAAACGAGUCUCCUAUCAGGAGAAAGAAAAACAUAGAUACGCACCAAAUAAAGAACAAAUUGCUCAUUCUGAUAUACAUCGAAAAAGUGAAUCGGAAGUCACACCAUAUUUACCGACAGGAGUUAUUAAAAGAAAACUGGAUUACUUAGCAGGAUUCGCGCCAAAAAUUCCAAUCCAAGAAGAAAGUACAAAAGUUUUAGUCGAAUGUGAUGUUAAAAGUAAAGAUUUGUACGAGAGGAAAUUUCAAGAUCCUACUGUAGGAGAAAAUAAAGUUGAUUUUAUCUAUCGUCAUGAAGAAGGAUCAGCGGAAGUGGAGCAAUCAGAGACGGAUUUUAUAAUUCCAGAAUUACCAUUUGGUAAAUCAUUGAUGAUUAAUAUUUUAAGUACCUGGGGAGACAAACAAUUCGUUGGCCUAAAUGGAGUAGAAAUAUUUUCUGAAUUGGGUAAACCUAUAAUUAUAGAGAAGAUUUAUGUUGAACCGUCUGAAAUGCUUGAAGAUAAAAAUGAUCCUCGAGGUAUUAGCAAUCUGAUUAAUGGGAUUAAUCGAACUAGAGAUGAUACUAAUAUAUGGUUAUCUCCUUUUAUAAGUGGAAAUGAUCAUUUGAUUCAUGUACAUUUUGAAGAAUCUACUCGAGUUGCAAUGAUACGAAUUUGGAAUUACAAUAAAUCGAGAAUACACUCUUAUAGAGGAGCAAAAGAUAUAAUUAUUUUACUGGAUGAAAUCAAGAUAUUUGACGGUGAAAUUGCAAGAGCUUGUGGUGAUAUCGUUGGCAGUAUCGACUCAUUCGGUGACACUAUUUUGUUUACAACUGACGAAAAUAUUCUGGAGUUAAUAGCAGAAAAUGAUUUAAGUUUUGGGGAAUGUAAUUAUGACGUUGAUACAGAAGCUGAUAGACCCAAAACUGGCACUGAAGUUGAUUCAUUUUCAUGUCAUGCUAAAAGGUCUGAGAUUCUCGGCGAAAAUGAAAAUGGAAUGUCAAUAUCGUGCAAAGAAAUUCAACUUGUAUUCAUUUCUAACUGGGGUCUCUUUAAUAUGAUAGGAUUAACAGGAAUAGAACUUUUCACUGACCAAGAUACACAAAUUUCUUUCGCUCAUGCAAAAAUAACCUGCAACAUUGGUAAUGACAAUUUAAUGAGACUUAUAGAUGGACGUAAUUUAACAAUUGAUGAAAAUCAUAUGUGGGCGACUCGAUUUUCAAUCGACACUACAGUCAUAGUAACGAUUAAAUUUGAUAAAGAAAUUUUUGUCACUGGAAUUAAAAUUUGGAAUUACAAUGCUUCGUUAGAUCUUUCUUAUUGUGGGGUAAAACAAAUGGUUGUGAAAUUGGAUGGAAAACCGGUUUUCGAUCUCAUCGAUGGAUUUAUUUUAAGAAGAGCCCCUGGAUGUUGUCAUUAUGAUUUUGUGCAAAAAAUUAGCCUGAUAAAUCCUCCAACAACUGAAAUGACGGUUCCAAAUCAGCCGGGAUUGCAUCAUUCCAUAACACCUGAAGAUUCGAGCGAAGAUCUGGAUUAUGAAGCAACAUCAGUGCCUUUUGGAUUUGUUUAUCAAAUAGUAAUAUUUUCAACUUGGGGAGAUCCUUAUUAUGUUGGUCUUAAUAGUAUUGAAAUGUACGACGCAGAAGGUCAAAAGAUUUUACUCACGGAAGAAAAUAUUGCAGCUUAUCCAGAAAGCGUAAAUGUCUUAGAGGGAAUGGAUAACGAUAUAAGAACUCCAGAUAAACUUAUUGAUAACGUUCACGACUCCUGUGACGGUCAACAUUCUUGGUUAGCACCAAUCUUUCCAGGACAGAUUAAUAGAAUUUAUAUAAUUUUUUACCAUCCAGUUGCUGUGUCUGAAAUAAAAUUUUGGAAUUACGGAAAAACUCCACAAAGAAAAGUUAAAGAAUUCGGUGUAUAUUUUGGUAGACGACUUAUUAAUAUAUAAUGGAACAUUGAAUAAAGAUAGUCCGACGGGAGUUUAUUUUAAAAAUGCCAAAGACAAUAUCGCGUACAAAAAAAAUUCUUCAAAAUCUCAAGACGAAAUUCAACUUGUAAAUUUAGGGAAGAAAACAACUUUUGGCGGAAAUUUUUUGCCAGAUCCAUCUCUUCGACCACACACAUCUUUAAUUCAAAAGAAUUUUUAAAGAAAAAAACUAAACUAAUAAAAAUAAUUGUAUACGCAAUCUAUUCUUUUAAAUUUUGUAAAAUAGAAUAUAAUUCAUUAAACAUA